rnacentral:rRNA from 1 species
AGAGUUUGAUCCUGGCUCAGGACGAACGCUGGCGGCGUGCCUAACACAUGCAAGUUGAGCGGAGAUAUAUGGAGCUUGCUUUAUAUAACUUAGCAGCGAACGGGUGAGUAACACGUAGAUAAUCUAUCCUAUACUGGGGGAUAGCCCGAUGAAAGUUGGAUUAAUACCGCAUAUAGCUAUAUAGUUGCAUGAUUAUGUAGUGAAAGAUUUAUUGGUAUAGGAGGAGUCUGCGGCACAUUAGCUAGUGGGUGAGGUAAAGGCUUACCUAGGCGACGAUGUGUAGCCGGUCUGAGAGGAUGAACGGCCACAAUGGAACUGAGACACGGUCCAUACUCCUACGGGAGGCAGCAGUGGGGAAUAUUGCACAAUGGGGGAAACCCUGAUGCAGCAACGCCGCGUGAGUGAAGAAGGUUUUCGGAUUGUAAAGCUCUGUUAGCAGGGAAGAGGAAGGACGGUACCUGCAGAGGAAGCCACGGCUAACUACGUGCCAGCAGCCGCGGU